CACGGAGUUAGCCGGUGCUUCUUCUGCGAGUAACGUCACAGCUGGCAGUUAUUAGCUACCAACCUUUCCUCCUCGCUGAAAGUGCUUUACAACCCGAAGGCCUUCUUCACACACGCGGCAUGGCUGCAUCAGGGUUUCCCCCAUUGUGCAAUAUUCCCCACUGCUGCCUCCCGUAGGAGUCUGGACCGUGUCUCAGUUCCAGUGUGGCUGAUCAUCCUCUCAGACCAGCUAGGGAUCGUCGCCUUGGUGAGCCAUUACCUCACCAACUAGCUAAUCCCACCUGGGUUCAUCCAAUCGCGCAAGGCCCGAAGGUCCCCUGCUUUCCUCCGUAGGGCGUAUGCGGUAUUAGCUACCGUUUCCAGUAGUUAUCCCCCUCGACUGGGCAGAUCCCCAGGCAUUACUCACCCGUCCGCCGCUCGCCGGCAAAAGUAGCAAGCUACUUUCCCGCUGCCGCUCGACUUGCAUGUGUUAGGCCUGCCGCCAGCGUUCAAU
rnacentral:rRNA from 1 species